UACAGGGGGUGCAAACGUUGCUCGGAAUUAUUGGGCGUAAAGCGCGCGUAGGCGGCUACUUAAGUCGGAUGUGAAAGCCCCUGGCUCAAUUGGGGAAGUGCACCCGAAACUGAGUAGCUUGAGUGCAAAAGAGGGCCGCGGAAUUCCCGGUGUAGAGGUGAAAUUCGUAGAUAUCGGGAGGAACACCGGUGGCGAAGGCGGCGGCCUGGGUUGACACUGACGCUGAGGCGCGAAAGCGUGGGGAGCGAACCGG
rnacentral:rRNA from 1 species